CUUAUACAUGCAGUCGUACGAGAGUUUUAACUUAAGUGGCGGACGGGUGAGUAACACGUAAGAAUUUGCCUUUAGGAGGGGGAUAACAAUGGUAAACCGUUGCUAAUACCCCAUAUGCUUUCGAGUGAAAUGGUUUUCCGCCUAAAGAGAAGCUUGCGGCUGAUUAGCUUGUUGGUGAGGUAAUGGCUCACCAAGGCGACGAUCAGUAUCUGGUUUGAGAGGACGAUCAGACACACUGGAACUGAGACACGGUCCAGACUCCUGCGGGAGGCAGCAGUAGGGAAUUUUCCGCAAUGGGCGAAAGCCUGACGGAGCAAUACCGCGUGAGGGAUGAAUGCCUAUGGGUUGUAAACCUCUUUUUUCAGGGAGGAAUAACUGACGUGUACCUGAAGAAUAAGCAUCGGCUAACUCCGUGCCAGCAGCCGCGGUAAGACGGAGGAUGCAAGUGUUAUCCGGAAUCACUGGGCGUAAAGCGUCUGUAGGUGGUCUAAUAAGUCAACUGUUAAAUCUUGAGGCUCAACUUCAAAAUCGCAGUCGAAACUAUUAGACUAGAGUAUAGUAGGGGUAAAGGGAAUUUCCAGUGGAGCGGUGAAAUGCGUAGAUAUUGGAAAGAACACCGAUGGCGAAAGCACUUUACUGGGCUAUUACUGACACUCAGAGACGAAAGCUAGGGUAGCAAAUGGGAUUAGAUACCCCAGUAGUCCUAGCUGUAAACAAUGGAAUACUAGAUG
rnacentral:rRNA from 1 species